UUUAUCGGAGAGUUUGAUCCUGGCUCAGGACGAACGCUGGCGGCGUGCCUAAUACAUGCAAGUCGAGCGGACAGAUGGGAGCUUGCUCCCUGAUGUUAGCGGCGGACGGGUGAGUAACACGUGGGUAA
rnacentral:rRNA from 2 species